rnacentral:rRNA from 1 species
AACGAACGCUGGCGGCAUGCCCAACACAUGCAAGUCGAACGAUUGCCUUCGGGUGAUAGUGGCGCACGGGUGCGUAACGCGUGGGAAUCUGCCCUUAGGUUCGGAAUAACAGCUGGAAACGGCUGCUAAUACCGGAUGAUAUCGCGAGAUCAAAGAUUUAUCGCCUGAGGAUGAGCCCGCGUUGGAUUAGGUAGUUGGUGGGGUAAAGGCCUACCAAGCCGACGAUCCAUAGCUGGUCUGAGAGGAUGAUCAGCCACACUGGGACUGAGACACGGCCCAGACUCCUACGGGAGGCAGCAGUGGGGAAUAUUGGACAAUGGGCGCAAGCCUGAUCCAGCAAUGCCGCGUGAGUGAUGAAGGCCCUAGGGUUGUAAAGCUCUUUUACCCGGGAAGAUAAUGACUGUACCGGGAGAAUAAGCCCCGGCUAACUCCGUG